UACGAAGGGGGCUAGCGUUGUUCGGAAUUACUGGGCGUAAAGGGCGCGUAGGCGGUGUGUCAAGUCAGGCGUGAAAGCCCCGGGCUCAACCUGGGAACAGCGCUUGAGACUGGCACGCUCGAGUUCGGGAGAGGAUGGUGGAAUUCCCAGUGUAGAGGUGAAAUUCGUAGAUAUUGGGAAGAACACCGAUGGCGAAGGCAGGUCUCUGGGCCACUACUGACGCUGAGAAGCGAAAGCAUGGGGAGCGAACAGG
rnacentral:rRNA from 1 species